rnacentral:lncRNA from 1 species
GUUUAAUUUCUUUAAAAUAAAUUAAAAUUAAAAUAAUUUGAUUUACUCAAAAUAAAAAAAAAUUAGAAAGAUUCGGUUCUUAUUCGAUUUUUCGGUUCUUGGUCUAGAACCGAGAACCGAACCGUACCCGUCAGUUCUCAAUUCAGAUACCCGUUUGGGUAUUUAAUUUGACAAGAACCGUCGGGUUCGGUUCAGUUCGGUUCGGGUUCGGUUCGGGAGAUUUGCCCAGCCCUACAUGUGCUUAUGUUUAUCAUGCUUCUAUCGGUUUAUAUUUCUAAGGUGAGCAGUCUCCUAAAUUCGAUCUCUUGCAACAUAAGUUUAUUUAGAAGUUUGAAAUUUUAGCCCUCUUUAUAAUUAUUUUCUAGCUCCGUCCCUGACGGUCGAGGUGUAGGAUUACUAAUUGACGAUGGACCUUCAGGGCCACGAAUAAAAGAGGGUCGGGAAAUGGAAUAAGCCAUGUGGUAAGAUUCUGAGGAACGUGUCGAUGAUGUGAUGCGGGCUGAGAAAGGGAAAGAGAUAAGGAUGAAUGAAGGUAGAGAGUGAAGGAGAUGACUGGCUUUGCUGGACAAAUAAUGAUGCCAUAAUGUACCUAGAUGACUAGCUAGCGAGGGUAAUAGUUGUGACACAUGCAAAAGAUUAGAACCUCCGGUCACUCAUGCUUGUGUUCAUGCACGUGUGACUCAAAUUUUGUACAUUAGCAUGUGUGACUUGCAAAACUGUUGUGCAUCAAAGAUGUUGAUUUAUAGAACACAUCAAUGCAAAACUGUAUUCAUGAUUUAUCUAUUAGGCAGUGCAUUUUAUUUUGCCAGUUCUCGAAAAUACAAAAUCAGCAUGUUUAUUGAGUUUAAGUUACUUUAAUAAACAAUUUCUUUUAGAAACUUGACUGAAAGUUUAAGCAAAUUGCAUAUUGGGGUUUUAGGACAGAGUAUGAUUAUUUUUUUCUCAUAUGUUCUUGACUGGGGGUAUCGAAACAGAUGGAAAUAGUUUACAAAAAGAAUUUAUGUGACAUGAGAGUUUAAAGCAAUUGCACGGUUUGUAUUUGUCAUAGCUUUAGAUAUGGAUGACAGAAAGAGAAAUCCAUUUGGAUCUUUUGCUUGCUGAAUUUGUUAUUAUCAAAUAUUGUAAAUCGUCGAUUUUAAUGACAAAAUUUUCCAUUGACAGCUUUUGCUUGCUAAGUUAGAUAUUAACUGUGUGAAUGGCUUUCUGUUUUGUUUCAUUAGAGCCUGGUUCCUUUCCAGAGCCUUUGUUUGUAACUGUGGUUUUCCAAUUGUGUUUUACUGAGCUAUCCCUUACAGAGGAUUCCUUCUGCAGGUACCAUGUUGGUUAACAUAUGAUUAUCCACAAGACGCCAGGGAAAAACUUAGGCAUCGAUGGGGUUCAGACUGGAAAGGUCAAGCACAAAAAUGGUGAGUACAUAUGCUUCUUCUUUUCCUCAUAGACGUUUGAUAUAUUUUGAUUUUACAUCCUUGAUAGAAACUGCAGCUUUGUAGAUAGUUCAAGUGAGGUAGAUUUUGCCCUUUUGUGAAAAUAUUGUGCAGUAUGAGCCAUUGCCUUAACAGAUAAGUUUAUAAUUUGUAAAGCUAUCUAUAAAGCCCAAAAUUCUGAAAAUUGGCUUCUGGUGCUAGUGGCCCACUACCAUCAAUUAAGUUACAUACUGUUCUCGCAUUUGCUGUUACCAUACUAAACCAGAUAAACCUACUAAUUGAGAGACAGGGAUAAAACUCUAUUUAUACAGGGACAUCAAUAGAGAUUGGAAAGUGCUACAUGUACAUGAUUGUCUACAUAAUGGCGUUCAUAAUUACACGUGGCGCUGGAUUCAACCUUUAAUUCAAAUCUUAGAUGAUUGCCACAUCACAUUAUGGAUACCAUCAUGUGUAAUAAUUAUGUACAAGUAGAAUUUUCCAUAGAGAUUCCUGUUGAUUCUACAAUCUUUGUGAAUAUGGAUUGAUUGGCCCUACAUGGGUACAUGUUAGGUUAGUGUUCGAGGGAGAGCAAUUUGCUAAAGCAUGAGAGAAGGAACAUUAAUGAUACAAGAAAGAGCCCUCAUUCCUGGGCGUGAGAGAACAAAGGUUACUGUUAUCUGAAAGUGUAUCCAAACAAACUUGAAUAGUGAAUUCAGUAACUAAUGAUUAGAGUUAACAAUUUCGUACAAUGGGUAUGUAAAUGAAAUCCUAGGAGAGGGUCAGAAAUUUUUAAUCUCGUUACUGUUAUGUUUUCUAACUGCAACAUACUCGUAUAAGUAACAAUGGGACUGCAAUAUUCUCUUGUUUUAGAUAUUGAUUUUAAUUAAUUAUUACUAAUUACUUAAUAUCUGCUAUACAACCUCUUCACACAAAUACACAACUAAUAUACAUUCACGAAUGAGAAGAUGCUUUGUUUUCUGUUCUGACUGUAUCUCAGCUGAUAUAUCUGACUUUGAAAUGUGCAAAACUUCACGUUUCUUUUUAAAUUCACUGGAAAGGAUGAAGAAAUCAAUCUUUUGGGUGAUGGGUCUGAGAAGCCUGAAUUCGGAGAAUGAUCAUGGCUGUCACCAGAAGAAAUAAUCAACGUCGUCAGUCCUCUCAUCUAACCUUUAAAAAUGUUUUGAAAUAAAUUUUUUGGUCUUUUCCUGUAAUACUGAAAUUUAACCUUUUUCUAUUUCUUUGCAGGCAGUGGGUUUCAAGAAGCCUGUAUAUCAGGAAGUUUUGACAACUUUCUCUCCACAUCUUGAGUAGAACAUUAAAGGUCGAUUUUUGUUCAAGGAACUGUUUUUCUGCCGAUUUGGGGGAAAUAUGCAAGGCCAUCAACUCACCUAAGAUUCUUGUAUUACAUUAGAGUUUUACUACACGUACUUCGGGGUUGACACUCCGGUGUACACUCCCCUCACCUGGGAGAUUCCAAAAUUUUUUUUAUUGUCAUGGGGCCCAUCCCCUCAUGUGAGGGGAGUGUUAACCUCGAUGUACAAAUAGCAUUUUCCUUUUCUAUGUCACUGUGAGGUAGCAUGGAAAAAUUUGCACCGCUAAUACGGACGUCUUUGUUUGAAGUCACAUACUCACAAUUUCAUUUGUAAUUUUGAGACAGGUUAUGGAGAGUUGAGUAGGAUUGUCUGCUCUCAUUUUCUCCUAUGACAAAUUUGUCCGGGAUAUGGACUUAUGCUAUGAUUUAAAUCAUGCUCAUGUUUGUCAAAUUAAUUUGUAUUUGUGGUAAUAUAAGUGGAAAUAAAGGCUCUAUGUUAUCGAAGUCGUG